rnacentral:rRNA from 1 species
GGCGGCGUGUCUGAUUCAUGCAAGUCGAAUGCGAAUGGGAGCAAUCCCUAGUAGCAUGGCGAAAGGGCGAAUAAUACGUGGGUAACCUACCCCCCAUGUUCGGGAUAACCCAGGGAAACUUGGGCUAAUACCGGAGAUAGAUGCUUGGGAUGCAUAUUUUGAGCAUCAAAGGCGGGGAUCCGCAAGGACCUGUCGCUUGGGGAGGGGCUCACGGCCUAUCAGCUAGUUGGCAGGGUAAUGGCCUACCAAGGCGAUGACGGGUAGCCGGCCUGAGAGGGUCAUCGGCCGCACUGGGACUGAGAUACUGCCCAGACUCCUACGGGAGGCAGCAGAGGAGAAUCAUUCGCAAUGGGCGAAAGCCUGACGGUGCGACGCCUCGUGAGGGAUGAAGGCCUUCGGGUUGUAAACCUCUGUCAGGAGUUAUGAAUGACCGGGAUUUUAAUACGAUCUCGGUGUGACAAAGGCUCCAAAGGAAGCCACGGCUAAUUACGUGCCAGCAGCCGCGGUAAUACGUAGGUGGCUAGCGUUACUUGGAAUCACUGGGCAUAAAGGGCGUGUAGGCGGAUGCGUAAGUCCGGUGUAAAAUCCCCCGGCUCAACCGGGGAAAGCCAUUGGAUACUGCGUGUCUUGAGUGCGGGAGGGGAGAGCGGAACUCUUGGUGGAGCGGUGAAAUGCGUAGAUAUCUAGAGGAACGCCGGUGGCGAAAGCGGCUCUUUGGCCCGUAACUGACGCUGAGGCGCGAAAGCUAGGGGAGCAAACGGGAUUAGAUACCCCGGUAGUCCUAGCCCUAAACGAUGAUUACUAGGUAGGGGCGGCUCCGAUGCUGUCUCUGCCGUAGCCAAUGUGUUAAGUAAUCCGCCUG